rnacentral:rRNA from 1 species
CAGACCGCGAUAACCUCCGGGAAACUGAGGCCAAUAGCGGAUACAGCUCUCAUGCUGGAGUGCCGAGAGCUGGAAACGUUCCGGCGCUGUAGGAUGUGGCUGCGGCCGAUUAGGUAGAUGGUGGGGUAACGGCCCACCAUGCCGAUAAUCGGUACAGGUUGUGAGAGCAAGAGCCUGGAGACGGUAUCUGAGACAAGAUACCGGGCCCUACGGGGCGCAGCAGGCGCGAAACCUUUACACUGCACGACAGUGCGAUAGGGGGACUCCGAGUGUGAGGGCAUAUAGCCCUCGCUUUUCUGUACCGUAAGGUGGUACAGGAAUAAGGACUGGGCAAGACCGGUGCCAGCCGCCGCGGUAAUACCGGCAGUCCAAGUGAUGGCCGAUAUUAUUGGGCCUAAAGCGUCCGUAGCCUGCUGUGUAAGUCCAUUGGGAAAUCGACCAGCUCAACUGGUCGACGUCCGGUGGAAACUACACAGCUUGGGGCCGAGAGACUCGACGGGUACGUCCGGGGUAGGAGUGAAAUCCUGUAAUCCUGGACGGACCACCAAUGGCGAAAGCACGUCGAGAGACCGGACCCGACGGUGAGGGACGAAAGCCAGGGUCUCGAACCGGAUUAGAUACCCGGGUAGUCCUGGCUGUAAACAAUGCUCGCUAGGUAUGUCACGCGCCAUGAGCACGUGAUGUGCCGU